rnacentral:tRNA from 1 species
CCCUCUGUAGCUCAACGGUAGAGCGUUCGGUUGUAGCCCGAAAGGUUGCUGGUUCAAAUCCGGCCGGAGGGA